rnacentral:sRNA from 2 species
AUGCUGUCUGUCGACUACGGAUUCGGCACCUCUGUGAAGAGGAGCGGCCACGCCGCAUGCUGGUGCGCCGCAUUGGGCGGCGUUGUUCAGUUCGGUGGCUGGCCGCCAAGCGAACUGCUGGCUGAGGUGGCACUGCACAAGGGAUCUAGUUGCCCUCUCUUCGUGCUGCCCGUAGCGACGAUCGCGCGCCAUGUGCGCCGCGCAGAUCAGCGCUGCAGGACAGACGCCUUCGACGUUGCUUUGGCGCCGCACCGUCAGCGCCGGCUGCGAAGGCUGUGCGAGAUCGCCAGCGGGGCGGCACCAUGCGAGUGCAGUGGGACGCUGCACGACUUCCAGGGCAGGAGGCCCUCCUCGCGGCCGGACUGUGCCGCCAAAGAGGAGGAUAAGGACGGCGAUAUCCUGGGAGGGAGCUUUAGCGCGUCGUCCUCCGGACCCAGCUCCUUUUCUCCAACGACGGAGGAGUCGAGCGAGCGCGGGCUUGAGUAUGUCGAGGGUUACGUGAGCGAACAGGAGGCGGAGAACGCGGCUGACCGGAGCAGGAGUAGCUCAGUCGACACCUCGCUGUCCUUGUCGUCCUCCUCAAAGAGAAGGAGCGGGCACGGCACCGAUGUGCGACAGCCGUUGCACCUCCACGCCGCCGCCGCGUGCGCGCCGGACGGAGUCGUCGCCGAUGUGGUGAACGAGGUUGUGGUGCCACCAAUCACCGUUGAGCUGCUGCGCCAGAUGAGCCUGGCGGCGGGCGACCGCACAACACACAACACGCCUGCAUCUCCGUCAGCGGUCGCGUCACACGGCCACAUGAGCGUGAGUCCCAGCACUCGGACUGGAUACGUCAAAUCUGCCCUCUAAGACCUCAUAAAGGGGCGCAACGCUGGUCGUAGCGUGGACAAGGAGGCGCCUUCAGUCCAGGCCGACACACACGAGGUACGCGGCAAGCACACGGUGCGGCCGCUUCGGUGGAAGAUGAUUCGGCCGCCGGUGGCGCCACGCUCGCGGCACGGGCACCAUCUGGUCUCCUGCGGGGAGCGCCUCUACGUGAUCGGCGGCAGCUACUGGGCUCAUGGCAACGCACUGGCGUCGACGGACAUGAUGUGCGAUGUGCGCACGGGCGCCUGGCAGCAGAUUUCUUCGCUCUUCCCCCAGCGCUUCUGCGCGGCGUUGGCGAAGAGCGAUGCCGCCCCCGCGACGCCGUGGACGAUGCAAGCAUCGUCUGCGCCGAGGCGUCUUGUGGAAGAGACUGCCGAGGGGGGCACUCUCACAUGCGGGACGGCGAGGGCGGGCGACGAGCAUCAGGUGCUGUACUACUUUGGCGGCUUGAGCUACUCGCAUCAGCUGAUGAACACCCUCCAUCGUCUCCGGCUGCCGCAGGAGGUGCUGGAGGAACUACCCCAAUACCGCGCAGUGCCGCGAGCACAGCUCAAGGGGAUUCUCGUGUGCGACGUGCAGCGUGAAUGCACCCCCGAUGAGCGCAAACGUGGCGAACAGGCGACAUGACGACUCUUCUACAUGGACGGCUUUCAGGAUGGACGCCCGAUGGCGCCAUAUCUGCGAGUGUACAACUUGGCAACCGGGGUAUGGGUGCGUGUGUGCCCUUCGCCAGACCUCGUGCACAGCCAGAUCUCGCUGCUUCAGUACGAACUAGUGGACGCAGUGAGCGAGGGGCCCGCUAGCGAGGCGGCGUUGCCGGCGCCCGUGUCUGUCAAGCGAGAGGGCAAUCAAUCGAUAAAGCGGCAUGCCGGCUCGCCGCGGCAAGCAGCGCCGCUCUCGCAUGUGCUACUCAUUCGACACCGUGCAGAUGCGUUUCGACUACUCGCACGUGCUGCCGGUGCCCGGGCUGACAGUGCACUGUGUAGUGCUAGUACCGUCUGCUGGUAAGCCCAGCGCUGCUGCAGCUGUCCACUCGACGGUGAAGGUUGGAGAGGACCGGCAAACAGUGGCGGACGGCGCCGCGCUCUUGAGUGCCUACCAGACCGCCCUCAGAGUGCUACG